rnacentral:lncRNA from 1 species
UUCUCUAACUAUUCAUGCAACGGAAAGUCAAGUUUGCUAAGGUAUUCAAUAUGCUCAAUCAUGUAUAGUACAUAAUCGAUGACUGAAGCCCUCUCUCGCAUACAGACAUUUAACACUAUGCAGGAGGUUCUGUAUCUCUCUGCAUCCUCUGGGAUGCCGAAAGAUUCAUUCAACAUUUGAAUGAUCUCUUCUGACUAUGUAUCCUC